AGCGAACGCUGGCGGCAGGCCUAACACGUGCAAGUCGAGCGGCCGUAGCAAUACGGCAGCGGCAGACGGGAUAGUAACACGUGGGAACGCGCCCUUCGGUUCGGAAUAACUCAGGGAAACUUGAGCUAAUACCGGAUACGCCCUUACGGGGAAAGAUUUAUCGCCGAAAGAUCGGCCCGCGUCUGAUUAGCUAGUUGGUGAGGUAACGGCUCACCAAGGCGACGAUCAGUAGCUGGUCNGAGAGGAUGAUCA
rnacentral:rRNA from 1 species